rnacentral:tRNA from 1 species
AAGGGUACAGCUCAGUGGUAGAGUUCAUGGCUAGCAUGCAUGAGGUCCUGAGUGCAAUCCCCAGUACCUCUG